rnacentral:rRNA from 1 species
AACGAACGCUGGCGGCAUGCCUAACACAUGCAAGUCGAACGAAGCCUUCGGGCUUAGUGGCGCACGGGUGCGUAACGCGUGGGAAUCUGCCCUUGGGUUCGGAAAUAACAGUUAGAAAUGACUGCUAAUACCGGAUGAUGUCUUCGGACCAAAGAUUUAUCGCCCAAGGGUGAGCCCGCGUAGGAUUAGGUAGUUGGUGGGGUAAUGGCCCACCAAGCCGACGAUCCUUAGCUGGUCUGAGAGGAUGAUCAGCCACACUGGGACUGAGACACGGCCCAGACUCCUACGGGAGGCAGCAGUGGGGAAUAUUGGACAAUGGGCGAAAGCCUGAUCCAGCAAUGCCGCGUGAGUGAUGAAGGCCUUAGGGUUGUAAAGCUCUUUUACCAGGGAUGAUAAUGACAGUACCUGGAGAAUAAGCUCCGGCUAACUCCGUGCCAGCAGCCGCCGUAA